GAUUUAUAAAGAAGAGGCGAGAGAACAGGCUCUGCAACCCUCUGGCAACCCCAAAAUAUUGUUUUGGAAGGUGCCAAAACCUGACCCUUAAUGGGGAUUAUAAAUU
rnacentral:ncRNA from 2 species